GACGAACGCUGGCGGCGUGCUUAACACAUGCAAGUCGAACGGAGUGGCGAACGGGUGAGUAACACGUGGGUGACCUGCCCUGCACUUCGGGAUAAGCCUGGGCAACUGGGUCUAAUACCGGAUAGUGUGGGAUCGGCCCGCGUCCUAUCAGCUUGUUGGUGGGGGAAUGGCCUACCAAGGCGGCGACGGGUAGCCGGCCUGAGAGGGUGGACGGCCACAAUGGGACUGAGACACGGCUCAGACUCCUAGGGGGGGCAGCAGUGGGGAGGAUUGCACAGUGGGCGGAAGCCUGAUGAAGCGACGCUGGGUGGGGGAUGAAGGCUUUCGGGUUGUAAACUCCUUUCACCAUCGACGCGGUAGAUGGAGAAGAAGCACCGGCUAACUACGUGCCAGCAGCCGCGGUAAUAC
rnacentral:rRNA from 1 species